AACUUUUGGCAACGGAUCUCUUGGCUCUCGCAUCGAUGAAGAACGCAGCGAAAUCCGAUACGUAAUGUGAAUUGCAGAAUUCAGUGAAUCAUCGAAUCUUUGAACGCACCUUGCGCCCCUUGGUAUUCCGAGGGGCACACCCGUUUGAGUGUCGUGAAAAUCUCAACCUCCUCGGUUUCUUUUGGGACGCUGAAGGAGGCUUGGACUUUGGAGGGCUUUGCUGGACUUGAAAAGGCCCAGCUCCUCUCAAAUGAAUUAGCGAGGUUCCCUUUGCCGAUCCUCGACGUGUGAUAAGAUGCUUCCACGUCUCGGUCUUUGGCUCUGUCGCCUUCUGGGACCUGCUUCCAAUCGUCUCUUGACGAGACAAUGUUCGAGCACAUCUCGACCACGUACCCUUGACCUCAAAUCGGGUGAGACUACCCGCUGAACUUAAGCAUAUCAAUAAGCGGAGGCU
rnacentral:misc_RNA from 1 species